UACGUAGGGGGCAAGCGUUGUCCGGAUUUACUGGGCGUAAAGAGCGUGUAGGCGGCCAAGCAGGUCCGUUGUGAAAACUCGAGGCUCAACCUCGAGAUGUCGGCGGAAACCAUUUGGCUAGAGUCCGGAAGAGGAAAGUGGAAUUCCUGGUGUAGCGGUGAAAUGCGCAGAUAUCAGGAAGAACACCCGUGGCGAAGGCGGCUUUCUGGGACGGUACUGACGCUGAGACGCGAAAGCGUGGGGAGCGAACAGG
rnacentral:rRNA from 1 species